rnacentral:rRNA from 1 species
AGACGAAUGUGGCAAGCGUUACUCGGAAUCACUGGGCAUAAAGAGCUCGUAGGCGGCUUUGCAAGUCAGAUGUGAAAGCCCCUGGCUUAACCAGGGAAUUGCAUUUGAUACUGCAAAGCUAGAGGUCGGUAGGGGAGAGCGGAAUUCUGGGUGUAGCGGUGGAAUGCGUUGAUAUCCAGGAGAACACCGGAGGCGAAGGCGGCUCUCUGGACCGAUCCUGACGCUGAGGAGCGAAAGCUAGGGGAGCGAACGGGAUUAGAAACCCUAGUAGUCC